CUCCUCUCUUAUCACAUCAACCUCCAUUACCUCCUCUCCCUCUGUCUGCACCUCCUCCUUCACACCUAUCACCUCCUCUCCCUCUGUCUGCACCUCCUCCUUCACACCUAUUACCUCCUCUCCCCCUGUCUGCACCUCCUCCUUCAAACCUAUCACCUCCCCCCUCUGUCUGCACCUCCUCCUUCAAACCUGUCACCUCUACCUCUCCCACCAUCUUCUCUUCCAUCACCUCCUCCAUCUCUCCCUCUGUCUGUGCCCUCUCCUCUUCCUCUGCUCCUCCUCGGCCCAGUCCUCCUCCUGACCUCCCGUCUGUGCCAAGAACAUUUCUCUGACAGCAAGCGGACAGAAGGUCAUCCUCUGGACCAGAGAAGCGGACAGAGUCAUCUUGACAACGUGUCAGCAGGAGGGAGCCAAUCAGAACACGUUCCAGGCCAUCUCUACUCUGCUCGGCAACAAGACUCCCAAUGAGGUCUCUCGCAGGUUUCGGGAUUUGAUGAGUUUGUUUCGGACAGCAGCGCGACAGACUGGCUCUGAUGAAGAGGCUCUGCCCACCGAGUCGGUAGCAGCCAAUGAGGAAGAAGACUGAUGUUAACCAAUCAGAAGAGCCGUAGGUUCCGCAGCAGAAAAAAUUAAGUUUGUUCCCAGGACUUUUAUUGUGAAGGAUUCAUCAAAGUUUACAGAUGCGUUUACUGAACGUCAAAAAAACUGUAAAUAUGAACAUUUCUAAAUAUUUAAAGUUUUUGUAAAAAUGAAGUCUUUUUUUUUUUUAAUAAAACAGUUUUUUAUCGAA